AUACGGAGGGUGCAAGCGUUAUCCGUAUUCAUUGGGUUUAAAGGGUACGUAGGCGGAUAGAUAAGUUAGUGGUGAAAUCCCGAAGCUCGACUUCGGAACUGCCAUUAAAACUGUCUAUCUUGAAUUUGGUUGAAGUGGGCGGAAUAUGACAUGUAGCGGUGAAAUACAUAGAUAUGUCAUGGAACACCAAUAGUGAAGACAGCUCACUAAGCCAAUAUUGACGCUGAGGUACGAAAGCAUGGGUAGCGAACAGGAUUAGAAACCCUAGUAGUCC
rnacentral:rRNA from 1 species